rnacentral:tRNA from 1 species
ACUUUUAAAGGAAAAUAGCCAUUGAGUACCAAUAGGUGCCGAAACUCUUGGUGCAAAUCCAAGUAAAAGUAAUG